rnacentral:rRNA from 1 species
UACGGAGGAUCCAAGCGUUAUCCGGAUUUAUUGGGUUUAAAGGGAGCGUAGGUUGACAUAUAAGUCAGCUGUGAAAGUUUACGGCUCAACCGUGAAAUUGCAGUUGAUACUGUAUGUCUUGAGUGUACAAGAGGUGGGCGGAAUUCGUGGUGUAGCGGUGAAAUGCUUAGAUAUCACGAGGAACUCCGAUUGCGCAGGCAGCUUACUAAACUACUACUGACGCUCAGGCACGAAGGCGUGGGGAUCAAACAGGAUUAGAUA